AUUAUAGGAACCGCUAACAGUGUCUCAAACUGCCCUCCAUGGAGGAGAGCUGUGGAUGGCAGGCCUGCUCCCUCAUCUGCAGAUACACAGGACAACUGUUCUUUGGGGGAAGAUGGCAUAUCUUGUAGAGUCACUGACGCCAGCACAUGAUUGAAAGAAAAUAUCAUCAGCACUUAGCUUUCACCAAGGAAGUCUCCAGAAAUGGUUCACAAGUAACAUGAAAUCCAUACAGCAAAAGGCUGCAGGCCCUACUUCCUCAGACUUGAGUUAAGUGAUACCAGUCUGCCUUCUUAAACUAAGAUCUUCGGAGACAUGAUUCAAGAGGAGCUCAUAUUAGUGACUGCUGUCACACCACACAGGCAAAAAACUAAGGGCUCAUUCUUCCUUCCCUUAUGAUUGAAUAAAAUAAAAUAAAAUGUAUGCCCAUGC